AGCAGCAUUCUGCUUAACAAAAACAAGUAAGAUCAACAGCUUAACAAAAAGAAGAAAGAAGAAGAAAGAGUGCAUAUCAACAGCAGCAUUCAGCAGACAACAAAGUACCAAUAGCAGCAGCAGUGCAUAUCAACAGCAGCAUUCAGCAGCAUCAGUGCAUAUCAACAGCAGCAUUCAGCAGACAGCAGCAGAAAGAAGAAGAAAGAGUUACAGAG
rnacentral:lncRNA from 1 species